rnacentral:rRNA from 1 species
AUUGAACGCUGGCGGCAGGCCUAACACAUGCAAGUCGAGCGGAUGAAGGGAGCUUGCUCCUGGAUUCAGCGGCGGACGGGUGAGUAAUGCCUAGGAAUCUGCCUGGUAGUGGGGGAUAACGUCCGGAAACGGGCGCUAAUACCGCAUAAGUCCUGAGGGAGAAAGUGGGGGAUCUUCGGACCUCACGCUCUCAGAUGAGCCUAGGUCGGAUUAGCUAGUUGGUGGGGUAAAGGCCUACCAAGGCGACGAUCCGUAGCUGGUCUGAGAGGAUGAUCAGUCACACUGGAACUGAGACACGGUCCAGACUCCUACGGGAGGCAGCAGUGGGGAAUAUUGGACAAUGGGCGAAAGCCUGAUCCAGCCAUGCCGCGUGUGUGAAGAAGGUCUUCGGAUUGUAAAGCACUUUAAGUUGGGAGGAAGGGCAGUAAGUUAAUACCUUGCUGUUUUGACGUUACCAACAGAAUAAGCACCGGCUAACUUCGUG